CUUUUACAUUUCUUUCAGCACAGUGUUCUCGGUUUCCUGUAUCUCAGCACUGUGCUGGUAAAAAGCUGGUACACGACAUUCCAUCAAUUCAACUUCAGCAGGAAGCACAGAAAUUUCAGGAGAAGGAGGUGGCAUUUACAGAGGAAGAAAAAGGAAGUUCACUAGAAGGAAUCGCUAAACCGAGAUAACGAUCUUCUAACUCAGCAGCAUGAAAUGUGAGCAUUGGAACUAUAGAAUACACAGACAAUCUCCAGACACGGAUAAACACCCCGAAAGAAUAAACGCCCUGAAAGAAUGAACACUCUGAGUUGCAAGAAUUUAUUGAUAUGCUUAGUUGUCUUGUGAGAUGUAGCUGGUUUAGGAGAAGACAACCAGACAUGGCUGGAUAACCUAGAAAAACAUUCUUUGAGGACUUACACAGUUCUUUGUCUAAAACUAGUACGUGUACCCACUGCUUUUGUAUGACGGGAUGCCUUUUUGGAAGGGCAUCCGA